AAUUGGGGAUCGUGAAUGUCGAUUUUUCUGGAAUCGAUUCAGAUAGACUAAGUGUUGUUUAGACUGAUUGAGGCCCUAAUUAGAGUCGCCUGGACAUGGGCAACUGACCGAUGAUGGUCCAUGUCAAGUUGUUGGCCAGAUGGUGGAAAUUUAGUGAGCACUCUUCUAAACUUUGCAAAACCAAUUUCAGGUACGUGUUAUUGCUCACGUACGCUAGCUCCAUCACAUUAGUCGACUACGAAUUCAUAUACCAUAGUUGUUCAUCUCGUUGCUAGAUUUUGUGAAUCUAAUUCUGAUUGUUUGAUAGGUUGAAAGCUUUUACACGCUUGAUUUUCUAUAUUUUUUGCUAAAUAUUCUUGUUUUUGUCAAAAAUAAUUGUAACCCUCUUCUCAUUGUGAAUUUAAUUAUAGAUGGAAUUUGGGAAUUUAUGAGUGUGAUUUAGUUUUCACAAACUGAAUCACUUUUUGUAGGGAUGGUUUGAAGAAACUUUGAAGACCCAGUAAAAAUAUUAGAAGAAUCGGGUGUUAAAAUAACUUGAUUCAGUAAUUUACUACUCAUAAAAGGGUUUAUUGUUAUUUCAUUUUUUUGAAACUAGUUUUGUAGUAGUUGUUGAAUACAUAUAUUGCCAUAAAAUGAGUAAAUAUAGAAGGUAUAAUUAUAUUUAUGUUGGUAUGGAGGAUCACAUGGAGAUGUUGUUCUGGGUUGUCCUGAUGCUAAAAUUGCACAACUCACAAGGAUCACCUGUUGUCCAUAUUGUUGACGUUGGAUCUGCUACAAAGAAUCUCAUGCGAAUAUAAUAAGGAGAAAUGUACCUGAAGAACCUUGUAAUCCAAUAGAUUCUUUGAUGAAGGGCACCGAUCUUGACAGCUCUAACAGUAAAGAUAAUAUGUAGAUUUCUGGGGCUUCUGAUAGUGGCAAAUUCAUUUUCAAGUCUUCAUCGGUCGCAGUUUCUAUUCUUAAAAAACCACUUCUCGACUCCACUAAUAACAAGCCAGCAAAGGAGAAGCCAAAGAAUCAGGAGUCCGAACCCACCACUUUUACAAGCAGUGGAUUGCAAUCAUUAUGCGAACAAUAUGGAAGUGAUGAAGAUGAUUGAUAUCAGAAAGAAUUCUGCUUCCCGUGGUUUUGGAAAAAGAUCAGUGGUGUUACUCAAGAUGCAUGAGCGUCAACCGGAACCUCAUUAUAUGUCUCCUCUGAACCCUGAGAACGAAAUCUAUGUGAAAAAAUGGUUUGAUGAAGGCCCACGUAAAGCUUUUCUUAUGUUCUAUGUCAGACAUGCAAAAUUUUUACAUCAACCAAACUUGUUGUACAGCCUUAGAAUUGCAUUUUACUGUAUGCAGGAUAUCUUAUAUAGAUGGAUGAGGAAAUUAACUCAAUUUGUAAGUAUAGAUGCUAAUUGUUUUUGUUCUUGAUUGUCAGUAAAAAUCCUCAACUAUAGAUGCUCAAUUUUGAAUUUGGCAUUGCUCCAAUGGAGGAGGCCCAAUAUUUUAACUCAAAUGUACAUGGAUGAAUUGUCACGUUUAGUGCUAAAUGGACCCAAUUUUUUUAUUUUUU